CCUACGGGGGGCUGCAGUGGGGGAUUUUGGACAAUGGGCGAAAGCCUGAUCCAGCGACGCCGCGUGGAGGACGAAGCCCUUCGGGGUGUAAACUCCUUUUCUCAGGGAAAAAGGAUGAUGGUACCUGAGGAAUAAGCCCCGGCUAACUACGUGCCAGCAGCCGCGGUAAUACGUAGGGGGCGAGCGUUACCCGGAAUUACUGGGCGUAAAGGGUGCGUAGGCGGCCUUACAAGUCCGGUGUUAAAAGCCCUGACUCAACUAGGGAGAUGCGCUGGAAACUGUGAGGCUUGGGUGCAGCAUAGGCAGAUGGAACUGCUGGUGUAGGGGUGAAAUCCGUAGAUAUCAGCAGGAACGCCGGUGGAGAAGUCGGUCUGCUGGGCUGCGACCGACGCUGAGGCACGAAAGCUAGGGGAGCGAACCGGAUUAGAUACCCGGGUAGUCGC
rnacentral:rRNA from 1 species